AGAGUUUGAUCAUGGCUCAGAUUGAACGCUGGCGGCAGGCCUAACACAUGCAAGUCGAGCGGUAGAGAGAAGCUUGCUUCUCUUGAGAGCGGCGGACGGGUGAGUAAUGCCUAGGAAUCUGCCUGGUAGUGGGGGAUAACGCUCGGAAACGGACGCUAAUACCGCAUACGUCCUACGGGAGAAAGCAGGGGACCUUCGGGCCUUGCGCUAUCAGAUGAGCCUAGGUCGGAUUAGCUAGUUGGUGAGGUAAUGGCUCACCAAGGCGACGAUCCGUAACUGGUCUGAGAGGAUGAUCAGUCACACUGGAACUGAGACACGGUCCAGACUCCUACGGGAGGCAGCAGUGGGGAAUAUUGGACAAUGGGCGAAAGCCUGAUCCAGCCAUGCCGCGUGUGUGAAGAAGGUCUUCGGAUUGUAAAGCACUUUAAGUUGGGAGGAAGGGCAGUAAAUUAAUACUUUGCUGUUUUGACGUUACCGACAGAAUAAGCACCGGCUAACUCUGUGCCAGCAGCCGCGGUAAUACAGAGGGUGCAAGCGUUAAUCGGAAUUACUGGGCGUAAAGCGCGCGUAGGUGGUUCGUUAAGUUGGAUGUGAAAUCCCCGGGCUCAACCUGGGAACUGCAUUCAAAACUGACGAGCUAGAGUAUGGUAGAGGGUGGUGGAAUUUCCUGUAGCGGUGAAAUGCGUAGAUAUAGGAAGGAACACCAGUGGCGAAGGCGACCACCUGGACUGAUACUGACACUGAGGUGCGAAAGCGUGGGGAGCAAACAGGAUUAGAUACCCUAGUAGUCC
rnacentral:rRNA from 1 species